CCAUGGUAGCUGGAGCAGCAGAGGGGGCCAGUGUCUGGAGCCUGGCCCCUGGUGACCUCACAACCAUCUGUACUGAGAAAUAUCAAACCCAGAUCAACCCUGAGGAGAGAGAGUUCCGGAACACACGCUGAUAGAAGGCCGUCCAGAGGGCCUUGUACUGGGACACCACGGAGCCUAUCAGCAAUGGGAACGGGGUCGGUGUCCAUAGCUGGGGCGGUGGUGCGCUGGCUGGAAGAUAACCUGGGAAUCAUCCAGUCCUCCUCAGAGAUCGUCAGUUUUUUGUCAGCUUGCAGGAUGGAGUUGGACUCUGCACUCUUUCCCUUCAGGAACUGCUCCAGAACCUCCUCAGCCUGCAGAAAACAGGUCUUAUAGGUUGUUGCAUUGAUUUUGAUUCAAACCGUAACCAGGUGACUGAAAUUAGUUGAAAUGUUUAAUUGGUCAUUAAUGACUAAUGAUGGAUGUUUUUGAUUCUCUAAUACACUAUGAUGUUGCUGUUUGGUUUCUAGCUCUUACCCUGACUCCUUUGUUGGGCUCGGCCCGGUACUGUGCCACUAUGUUGUCAUGGUGAUUGCAGUAAAGCCCAUAGCCUCCUGGUGUGGUGUACGUCCCCUCCUUCAUCCCCUGAUCCAUCUGAGCAGACAGAUUCUCCAGAAGGGCCUUGCACUUCUUCUCGGAGGCAUCCUUGUUCUGUUUGAAAAGGUUGACGUUGUGGUUGCCAAUGGCCUCCUGAAAGAUUUAUUGGGAAUUUUCAGAUUCAGGCAUGUGAGUCCCGGUAUGCCAUGUUCCUAUAGUGAUAAAGGGUUACAUAUUGGCUCCAUAUAUAUAUUAGGCUUUUAUUCAAUAUUGUGUAAUUUUUAA